GUGAUUUUGGAGCCCCCCCAAAAUAAAGUCUGCCACUGUUUCCACUAUUUACCCACCUAUUUGCCUUGAAGUGAUGGGACCAGAUGCCAUGAUCUUAUAUAUUAUUUAGAAAAAUUUCCUUUUAAAAUGGGACAAUUUGGGAGCUCCCAUGUGCCCAUGAUGAGCGUUUGUGUAACAGUUAGUGACUGUCACCAUGACUGCAUCAUCAGACGAUUCAUUUCUUAGUUUUCAGUAUGGGUUGCCUAAUUCUGUAAUGGUUUGGACCUUCUACAGCUUUAACUUAUUUACAUUCCUGGACAAGUUUCACUUAAUUCAGUGUUUGCCAUGCCUUUCACGUCAAAGCAUAGAAAAUGAUCAUCUUUGUACACACACUGGCUUGAGAGUUUCAAUUUCUCUCACCCUUUGCGUCAAGUUAUUCACAGAUGUGGCAAAGCAUACAGUUGNAAAACUCCUAUUUACUUACUGAAUAUGGGGCCUCCUUGAUGGCUUAAUGGUAAAGAAUCUGCCUACAAUGCAAGAGACGCAAAAGACUAGUUCAAUCCCUGGAUCAGGAAGAUCCCCUGGAGGAGAAAAUGGCAACCCACCCCAGUAUCCUUGCCUGAAAAAGAACUCAUGGACAGAGGAGCCUGGAGGGCUACAAUCCAAAGGGUCACAAAGAGAUGGACUCUACCGAGUGGCUAAACACACAUAGUUAACAACUGGGCAAGUAAAGGAAGCACAGAACUCUGCUGAAAUUCUGUGUCAGUGAAAAUGGCAACAGUAAGUAUUCUGCCUAUUCACUAUAAGAAGGCGUUCCUUCAAUCUGUAAAGGGCAUUUAUUUGAUAAAGACUCCUUUAUGGAAAAUUAAGCUAUCACUUAGAACUUUAAAAUUCAUUAUUGAAAAUGAGAAAUCAUAAUCAUUUUAUCCAAUAUAGCUUUUUCAAGAAAGGAGAAAUAUUCACAAAUUUCAUGGAAUUUGAAUGAUUAAAAACCAUUUGGAAGUAACAGCCAGAAACCUCUCUUAUUUAGAAAAACAAAAUGUGGAAAUUAUUUUUAAAAAAUGAACAUUUGAUUUUAUUAACCAUAGGAAGAAACUGUUAGUUGUUUAGUUUUAUCUGACUCUUUGCAGCCCCACGGACUAUAGCCCACAAGGGUCCUCUGUCCAUGGGAUUUCCCAGGCAAGAAUACUGGAGUGGGU
rnacentral:lncRNA from 1 species